rnacentral:misc_RNA from 1 species
AGAUUUUUUACAGUAACUAACUAAUUAGUCGUUCUUGCGAACUCUAACUGUUUACUCGUUUCGAAUCUUCUCAAAAACAAGUGAAAAAAUGUCUGAAGGUGACGUAGUUAAUACUUCAGAAGAAGUCCAAGAGAAUCAAGAAGUUGUAGAAGAAUCUAUCGCUCCAGUCAAGAGCGUAAAAAACGUCGAGGCUGCACCACCAAACCUAUUCGACAUCUUCAAACCCAAAGAUGCAGCAAACGCAGACAAGGAUGGAGCAAAACCAGAAGACAAGCCCGCAGAUGGUACCAAACCCGCAGAUGAAACCAAACCUGCAGACGGAACCACAGAGGCUAAGCCCAACAUCUUCGAUGUUUUUAAGCCAAAGGAAAAAGCCUAUGAUAUGUCAAGUUUCUUGGAUGAUAUUGAGAAUGUUAAAUUUGAUGAACAAGCUAUCCAUAAAAUGCAACAAGAACCUACUCCCAAGAAGGUCAAUCCAGAAACCGACAAUAUUGUAUUAGAUCUUGAUGACCUUAUUAAAGGCUACAAGGAUGAUCAAACACCAGUAGAUCAAAGUACCAAAACAAAACAGACUAAACCGAAACAGAAUAAUUCUCAGGACAAUCUGUUAACAAAGGACAAAAGAACUGUGUCCCAUGCUGUACAAGGGGCAAAAAAGAGUGUUAGCGUUAACUCAGAUUUUGAGUUAGUUAAAAAGGAGUCACUAAAUAGGCAACCGUUUGACAUGUUUCAUUUAAAACCAUCCAAGCCACCUGACGACUCCCUAUCAGAUAUGUUCAAUUUGAACGGAUAUCAUGAUUCAUCCCCUUCUUCGGAACCCGUGGAGGAAGAAGUUAUGGCGGCGAAACAAGUAAAAUCUGUAGAAUUUGGUUUAUUUCCUGACCCAUUACACCUAAAGGAUAACGCUGCAAAUGCUACAAGUAGUAAGGCCACAGCUACUCCUAAGCCAAUACCAGAUCCUUUAGGCUUAUUGGAUAAAUCUAAACAAGUUCAGGAAAACAUCGACAAAACGAAACAAGAUAUACACAACUUUAUAACAGAUCCAUUCGGGCUUAAGGAAAAAGCUAGGCAAAAGGAAGAACAAGCUUCAAAAGACUCUAAAGUAGAACCUACGAAUCCAAUAAUAAAUAUUCCAUCUCUACCAGAUCCCCUAAACUUACAGGAAAAAACUAAACAAAUAAUCGAUUCUCUUAAAAAUGCCGCUGAUGAUGCUAACGCAGCAUUUGAUAGCAUAUCCAGCAAGCUUCCAGAUCCCUUAAAACUAAAGGAAAAGUCAGAUACGUUAGCAGAUGCUGUAAAAAAUACUAUCGAAACUUCUGAAAAAGCUCUUACGGAUAUUAAAACUCUUCUACCAGAUCCGGUAAAAAUACAGGAACAAACUAAAGAUAUAUCAGCUGCAAUGUCUGAGGCAGCUGAAAAUUUUAACAAAGCCAUAGACAAUAUCCAAAACGCCAUACCUAAUCCUACACAACUGCAGGAAAAAUCAAACGAAAUAAAAGCUGCAUUGGAAAAGACAGCAGAAGAGUCUUUAAAAGCGAUUGAAAAUAUUGAAAGCUUUAUUCCGAAUCCGGCAAAGUUUCAUGAAAAGUCACAAGUUAUUUCAGAUGCACUAAAAAAUGCAGAAAAGGCUUCAAUAGAAUCAUUUGAAAACAUUUCAAAAGUAUUACCAGAUCCUACAAAAUUGACUGAUAAAUCUAAAGCAAUUUCGGAAGCUAUUGAUUCUGCUUCACAAAACUCUAUAAAAGCUCUAGAUGAUAUUACUAGUAGUAUCCCAGAUCCUUUACAUCUACAGGAAAAGUCAAAACAGAUUUCUGAUUCUAUAAAGAGUGUAGCAGAAAACUCUCAAAAAGCGCUAGAAACCAUACACGCAGCACUUCCAGAUCCUUUAAAGUUGCAGGAAAAAUCGAGUGAAAUUGCUGCGACAAUUAAAAAUGCCACCGAAGCAUCGCAUAAAAUGCUUGAUGAGAUUCAGGGUAACAUUUCUGAGUCCUUUAAAUUAGAGGAAAAAUCUAGCAAUAUAGUAAGCAGUAUAAAAAAAGUUGCUGAGAACUCUGAUAAAGCUUUAGAAUCCAUCACAGUGUCUCUACCCGAUCCUUUAAAAAUACAGGAAGCAUCCAACAAAAUAGCAACAACACUCGGUGAUAUCUCCAAAAGCAUUCCUGACCCAUUGGAGUUUCAGGAAAAAUCGAAGAAAAUACUUGAAGGGAUAAAAACUUUAGCAGAAAGUUCUACUAAAAGCUUGGAAGAGAUAACUGGCUCAAUACCGGAUCCAGCAGAGAUAAAGGAUAAGUGUACUAAAGUAACCGCUGCUCUUAAAACUGUAGCUGACACUUCUACCAAAGCAUUUGACGAUAUCAAUAAAGCUGUAGUUGAUCCAGCUCAACUACAGACUGCAGCUUCUAAGAUCACGGAUGAUUUGAAGGUUUCCUCUGAUGCUACAGUUAAGGCACUUUUAGCCAUCAAUAAUAUGGUGCCAGAUCCUCGCAAAUUUCAGGAACAUUUUGUUAAACUUGCCACUAAUGUGAAAACUCUAGGAGAAGCGGCCAAUGUCGGGCUGGAAAAUAUUCAAAAGGCGAUACCUAAUGCUUCUGAUCUACAGCUAAAAUCCACUCAAAUAUCAAAGGCGAUAGCCGAUACAGUCGAAAAUUCAAAUAAAGCUUUUGACAGUAUAACAACAGCACUACCUGAUCCUACUAAUUUUCAGAAACAAUCCCAACAAAUUACGGAAGCCUUAGCAUCUACAACUGAAAAUACUAGCAAAGCAUUUGCUAGUAUUAAAACUGCAUUACCAGAUCCUACCAAACUUGAGGAGCAAUCCAAAAAAGUUAGUGAGGCUCUAGUAGAUAUUGCGGAAAAGUCUACUAAGGCUUUUGACACUAUUUACAGUACUAUACCGGAUCCAAAAACAAUACAGGAUUCUUCUAAAAAAAUAACAGAAGCAAUAAGUACUGUAGCUGAGGAAUCUUUAACUGCAUUUAAAAGUAUUGAGAGUUCUUUACCGGAUCCCCUAAAAUUACAGGAAAAAACUAAAGAAAUUACAAGCGCUUUAACUAAAUCUGCUGAAAUCUCUAGCAAAGCAUUAGAAAGUAUUAUAAGUACCGUACCAGAUCCUCAAGUUCUUCAGGACAAGUCAAAGCAAAUUGCAGACUCAAUUACAGAUUUAGCAGAAAAUUCUAAUAAAGCCUUAGAAGGAAUUCACAAAGCUCUACCAGAUCCCUUACAAAUACAGUCGAAAUCUAAAGAAAUAACCGAGCUUUUAACAAAUGCAGCUGACAGUACUCUCAAGGCAUUUAGUACUAUUGAGAGUGGGAUUCCCGAUUCAAUAAACAUACAGGCAGGUACCAAAAAAAUUACAGAAAUGCUACAAGAUGUAGAAAAAAAUUCAACUAAAGCGUUAGAAGAUAUUAAAACGGUACUACCAGAUCCAGUAAAAAUACAGAAUGAAACUCAGCUGAUCACUAAGGCACUAGCCGACACGGUACAAAAGUCGAAUGAAGCAUUUGAAAGCAUCCAAAAAGCGGUACCCGGUGUACUGGAAAUACAGAACAAGUCGACUAAGAUUACGGAUGCAUUGACAGAAGCUAAUGAUAAAUUCACUAAAGUAUUUGAUAAUAUUGAAAGUGUAUUACCGAAUACUUUACAAAUAGAGAACAAAUCCAAAGAGAUUUCUGAUGCCCUAGCUAAUGCUGCUGAAGUAUCAACCAAAGCUUUUGAUGGAGUGUUGAGUGCGCUUCCUGAUACUGACAAAAUAAAGGAACAAUCGGACCAUAUUACACAGGGACUCCUUAAAAUUAAGGAAGAAUCUACCAAAGCUUUCGAAAAUGUUCAGAAUGGUUUACCAGAUCCCUUAUUAUUUCAAAACAAGUCCAAAGACAUAACUGAAGCUUUAACAGCAGCAGCUGCAAGCUCUACUAAAGCUUUUGAAGCAAUUAAUUCUUCAUUACCAGAUCCCCUAGACCUAAAGAAAAAAUCUGAUCAAAUUAUAGAUGCCUUGAAUAAGGCGAACGAAUCGUCCAACACAUCAUUUGAUAGCAUUACAAAUCUUCUACCAGAUCCAACAAAAAUUCAGGAAAAAUCCCAAAUCAUUGCAAAAACUCUAACCGAUAUAACUGAAGAAUCAAAUAAAGCUUUUGACAGAAUUAAUGAUAUAAUACCCAAACCAGAUGGGCUGCAGAGUAAAUCCAAAGAAAUAACUGAUGCGAUAGGAAAUAUAGGAGAGACUUGUAACAAGGCGUUUCAAAAUAUAGAAAGCGUUUUGCCAGACGCUACUAUAAUACAGAAAACGUCAAAUAAAUUAUCAGACUCAAUUAAAGAUGCCACCGAAUCUACAGAUAAAGCUUUUUUGGAUAUACAAAAUUGUUUACCAGAUCCAAAAAAGAUCGAGGCUCAGUAUACAAAUAUUAAAGACUCAAUAUCUUUAGCAAACAACAAAUCUCAACAAGCUUUCGAAGGAAUUCAAAGUAUGUUACCAGAUUCUAGUGAAAUAGAGAAAGAGACAAAUAAAAUUGUAGAAAUAUUGGCGAAUGUAACAAAAAGUUCAAACAAAGCUUUUGAAGACAUAAAAGCGCAUGUAGCUGACCCUAUAGAACUACAGGAAAAAUCACAGCAAAUUUUGGAUUUGUUAACUAAAACAGUUGAUUACUACAAUAAUGCUUUAAAAAAUAUCAAAGAUUCUGUCCCAGAUUCAUCAAAACUUCAACAGGUUGAAGAAGAAAUUGUUAAAAUAAAUACGGACUCAAGUCAGGCAAUUGAAAAUAUCCUUAAAGUUUUAAAAAACGAGCCAGAUUUGCAGAGCAAAUCCAAAGAUAUUAUAGACACAAUUACAAAUUCAAUUGAAAGCUCCAACAAAGCUAUCGAAAGUAUUAAUUCUGCAAUACCAGCUGCCUUUGACAAGAUAAAUAAGUCUGUCCCAGAUGUUUCCACGAUUGAGAAAGUUGCCAGUCAAAUAGCAACUGAAGCUGAAAAAUCCAAAAGUGCCAUUGAAAAAGUUAACCAAGGGUUGCCACAGAUUUUUGACGGUAUCCAAAAGUCUAUACCAGAUGAAAAGCAAAUAAAGGAAUUAUCUGAAAAGCUAGUGAGUGAUGCUACAAAUUCAAGCAAGGCCAUUGAUAAUCUAGCCAAAUUUAUACCAACUCUUUUCGAUAACAUUCAAUCUUUUCUCCCACAACAAGAUAAGAUACAGGAAAUGGCUAACAUAGUAGCAGAAAGGUCAAAAAUAUCUACCGAAGCCAUAGAAAAUUUGGGCAGCAGCUUACCAAAAGCUUUUGAGCAAAUCCAGAAGGUUAUACCCGAUUCAGUAAAAUUACAGAAUCUACUAAAUAAAAUUGUUGAAGAAGCUGAAAAGUCGAAUAAGGAGAUCGAUGAAAUGGUGAAGGUUGUACCAAAGUCUUUUGGAAACAUUCAGAGUGCUAUACCAGAUUCUACAAAAAUAGAGCAACUAGCUAAAGUACUAGCAGAAGAAGCAACCAAAUCAACUGAGUCAAUUGACAAACUUAGCACGGCUUUGCCUAAAGUUUUUAAUCAACUUCAAACAGCCAUACCAGAUUCCCAGAAAAUACAGCAAAUAAGUGACAACGUAGUUCAAGAGCUCCAAGUAACGAAAACCAAACUAGACGAUUUAAACACUAGUUUGCCAAAAUUGUUUGACGACAUACAAACUUCUGUACCAGAGAUAUCAGAGAUACAGACAAAGUCCAAAGAGAUUAUUGAAGCACUAGCUUCAGGUUCCAAAAAUUCAAACAAAGAUUUGGAAAAUAUUAAGACUGUUUUACCACAAGUAUUCGAGAGCAUUCAGACAUCUUUACCAGACCCAAUAAAAAUACAGGUAUAUAUUUUAGCAAGUUGCCGCUAAUAUUAAAAACACAGCUGAAAACACUACGAACGCUUUGGAAAACUUGGAAAACUCUAUACCAGAUCCUGGAAUCAUACAAGAGAAAUCUAAAGAUAUUACUACAUUACUGAAAUCUACAAUUGAAGACACUAAUAAAGCAUUUGAUAAUAUCAAAGAGCUUUUGCCAGAAUUUGUAAAGAUACAG